GUCAAUCUCUCUUUUUGGUGAUGAGUGUGGGGAAUUUCUGGGAGAGGAAAUCUCUCCACCAGCAGAAUCUCAACUUCCAUGCAAUUUGCAGACUUGUAAAGCUGCUCAGGGCAAGUAACUUGUUUAGAGUCACACAACCAGUAUAUAUCAGGGUAAAACUUGAACCCAAUUCAUCUUUAUUCUCAGAAUUCCAUGUUGCUUUUGCUUCAUGGUUUAUGAAAUAAGGAUAUUAAUUCUACUCAGGCUUGCUGUGGAGAACAUGGUUUAUAAGCUUUAUAUUCCAUCUGAACCUUUAGUGUGUUCUUUUUAUCCCUGUUGGUGCCUCUAUACUUAGGCAUCAAAUGAUUACUGUGACAUUCUCCUCUUUUACCAUGCUUUUUAUCUUUUCUUCAGCUCUCCUCACUUCUCAAAAAUAGAAUGACUUGUUUCUUUUUUUAGUUUCUGGCCUCAACUUUUGAUUACCUCAUUACACUAAGUUGUUAAUAAGUAAUUGAUAAUUAAUCUUAAUUAAGCAUUUAUUAAAUCCAUAUUUUGUGUCAUUUCUUGUUCAAUAUCCUCUGGGUUUUAGGCAUACAAAUUAUGAAAGUGAAAUAUGUCCCUGUUUUCAAGAAGCUUAUAAUGGAAAAUAACACAGACAUUUGUCUGUUGAUGCUGUUUAGUCAUGUCCAACUCUUUGUGACCCCAUUUAUGCUUUUCUUGCCAAAGAUACCAGAGUAGUUUGACACUUCUUAUCCAGCUCAUUUUUACGAUGAGGAAACUGAGGCAAGCAGGGCUAAGUGACUUGUCCAGAGCACACAGCUAAUACAUAUCUCUGUAUUUGAACUCAGUUCUUUCUAACUCCAGGCUUGGUGCUCUAUCCACUGUACCUAGAUGCCUCUAACAUUUAUAAUUAUAUACAAAAUAAAUACAAGGUCAUUUUGAAAGGAACGCAUUAGCAUUUGAGGGAAUCAGAAAAGACUUUGUGAAAUUUAAGCUGUAUUUUCCCUGAAAGGAACGAGGAAUUCCUACAGAUAGGGAUGAAAAAUAAGAACAUUCCAGGCAUAGGGGACAGUCAGGGCAAAGGCAUGAAGGUGGGAGAUAGAGAUUUAUAUAUGAUAAAAAAAAGCAGAUCAGCUUUGCUGUAUCAAAGUAAACAUGGAGAAGAUUAAUUUUCUUUUUCUUUUAUUUACUUAUUUUUCUUUAUUAAAAAUUUUUAUUUUUCAAAACAUAUGCAUGGACAAUUCUUCAACAUUAGCUCUUGCAAAACCAAUUUUCCCCCUCUUCCCUCACACCCUCCCCUAGAUGGCAAAUAGUCCAAUACAUGUUAAACAUGUUAGAAAUAUAUGUUAAAUCCAAUAUGUUUACAUAUUUAUACAAUUAUUGUGCUGCACAAGAAAAAUCAAAUUAAACCAGUUUAAAAAAAAAGAGAGAAGCAAAAUAAAAUGUAAGCAAACAACAAAAAGAAUGAAAAUGCUAUGUUGUGAACCACACUCAAUUCCCACAGUCCUUCUCUGGGUGUAUAUGGCUCUCUUCAUCACUGAACAAUUGGAACUGGUUUGAGUCAUCUCAUUGUCCAUUAGAAUUGAUCAUUGUAUAAUUAUAUAAUUGUAUAAUUGCCAUAUAUAAUGAUCUCCUGGUUCUGCUCAUUUCAUUUAACAUCAGUUCAUGUAAGUUGAGAAAAGUAAUUUUCAAUGAAGAUAGAAAGGUUUGUUAUAGUCAUCUUGUGAAUAGCUUUAAAUGAGAGAAGAAAGAAUUUAUAUUUGAUUCUGAAGUUAAUAGACAGCUACUAGAAUUUUUUUAUUUAUGGUAGUGACAUGGUCAUAUUUAUAUUUUCCGAAAAUCAGUUCACUAAAGGUUAGAUUGAAGAGGGACGAUAGGGAGAUCAAUUAUGAAGCUAUUUCAGUAUUUUAGACUGUGUGCAUGGAGAGCUAUGAUGAUCCAGGCUAUGUGAAUGGAAUAGAGACAUUUAGGAGAGAUGAUGUAAAGGUAGAAAUAAUGCAAUUUGGCAAUUAAUUGGAUAUGUGGAAUGAACUGGAGGAAGAAAUUGAGGAUUAUGUCAAUGGUAGGAGCCUGGAUAUCUGGGAGGAUAGUGGUGCUUUCACUAUUGGGAAAAUCUGGAAAAGAGGAGUAUUGAUAGGAAUGAUAAUGAGUUCUUUUUUGGACAUGUUGAAUUUGAGAUGCCUAUGGGAUAUCCAAUUAACAACAUUCAAUAAGUAGUUUGUGAUAUGGAAUUCUCUCAAGAGAGGAAAUAGGACGGUAUAUAUAGACAUAGGUGUCAUUUGUGUUGAGAAGAGAAGGUAGCCAAUGGUGUUAAAUGCUACAGAAAGGUCAAGAAGACUGAAGCUUAAGAAGAUCCACCAGAUCUAGCAAUUAAUGGAUUAUUAUUAGCUUUGGAGAGAAAUCAUCUAAUUCAACUCCCCAAACCCCCAAAUAGAAAAGAUGAUGACUAAUCCAGGAUUAUUGAAUGAAUAUGAUGAUUAGAUCAUUUUUAUUCCAGAUCCAUAGCCAUUUUCAUCAUAUUAUAUAUUCAUACCACACCAAAUAUAAAACAAGAAUCUUACAUUUGGAAAAGACUUUAAAUACCACCAAGACCAAAAUUUUUAUCUUGGAAGUUUGUAAUUUUUUUAGGGGAAAAUACACAUUUGAGAAGAGAAAAGAAGGAAGGGAAAAAGAGGGGGAAAAAAGCCUGGAACAAUAAAAAGAAUGUAUUAUCUGAAGCUAGAAAUUUCUGGCUUUGCCAAUUGUGAUGUUGAUUGUAGCUGUUCAGUCAUUUUAAUCCCAUUUGAUGCUUUGUGACUUCAUUUGGAAUUUUCCUGGCAUAGAUACUGGAAUAGUUUUUCAUUUUCUUCUUUAGCUUAUUUUACAGAUGAGGAAACUAAGGCAAAUGGUUUUAAGUGACUUGCCCAGAGUCAUACAGCUAGUUAGUGUCUGAGGCCAUAUUUGAAUUUAGGUCUUCCUAACUCAAGGCCUGGUACUACAGAACCACCUGAUAGCUGGGCAAAUUGCUUAAUUUCUCUGGUCCUCAGUAUCUCCUUGUAAAUUUAGGAGGCUGGAACAAAUGGUCUCUAAGGUUCUACAUUUAUCCUUUUAUAAUCUUAUGGUUAAUUAUAUGCAUCGAGUAUGAAUGAAAUAGCAUUUGAUGAAGUUUGGUGGAAGCUGGAUUCAGUGGUAAAACUUUGUGAAUAGGAGGCAGUAUGGAGUAAUAUUAAGAACAUCAGCCCCCAAGUCAGAGAAUCUGGUCUCAAAUCCUCCUUUGAGACUUACUAUGUGUCUAUGUGGAUGUGUGUGUUCCCUCAUCUGUAAAAGGAAGAGGAUAGACUAGAUGGCCUUUGAGCUAUGGUCCUAUGCUAUUAAGGGCUUAAACUGGUUGUUUUUUUUUUUUUUUUUUUGAAGUGUGGAUAAGUGUUGAAAAACUUAAGGAGGCAAGAGGUAAAGAAGACAAGAGAAAUCAUUCCAAGCAGAGGAAGAGACAUAAGGCUCCAAAUAAAGAUAAUAAUGCUAGAUACAGUAAAAAGACUAGGUAAAAAAUAGGAUGAGUUUAGUUCUGGGGGAACUCUGUGAGAUAAAAUGGAGGUGGUGUGCUAGGGGUCAGAUUAUGGAAGAUUUGUAAAAAGAGGCAGAAGAAUUUGGCCUUGGUCCAAUAAGAUUUAGGGAACAUUCUCUAGGAGUAUCUGAUCUGUGAAACUUUUGAGAGCAUCUACAAGUUCAAUGUCAAUUCUUAAGCGCCUAAAAUAUUCAACAUGCCUUUAAAUUUAGCGUCUUAAUUUAAUAUCCACAGGCACACACUGGGCUUAAUAGUUCAGAUAGGUUUGGGACAUCAGCAGAAAACUUGACCUAGAUGGAAGUAGUGGUGGAAACUGAGGCUCAGAUAUGAAUGCUAGUGUAACAAUAUACUGUUAACUAUCUUCCUCAGGUGAAAAUAAAUGAGUUGCCUCCUCUCACUCUACCUCUCAUAUUCUACAAACCUCUUCUUUCUUCCAGUCCUAAACAUGAAUAAUAAUGCAUUAGCAGAAGUUUGUAUGUAAUUUUCAUGUGCUGAUAAAUGACUAAGCUAAGACACAUUUUGAAUUUUAAAAGCUCUUGAGGAAACAAUCGAGUCCCAAAAGAUUGAAGACAGGGAUUGGACUACCCAAUUGACUCACCUUCAACCCAAAAUUCUGUUCCCUAGUCCUAUUUCCUUAUCCCAUAUUUUAUGUACAGGAGGUAACAUACAUCUUAGCACAGUGACUGAGAUUAAUUGAGACAGCUGAAGUCUCAUAUGCUUCACUCACUUCUUUCAUUCCUGUCCCUUAUGGAAGAGUAGCCAAACAGGUGAGGAGAAGGGAGGAGGGAGGAGGGAGAAAAAAGGAAGAAAAGAGACUGUUUAGGAGUAGUAGUCUCUAUUUUAUCUUUACUCGAUGGGGCUAAGGGCUAGACAAGGUGUGAGAGCUUUAGAAUCUUCUAAACCUCCUUUUUUUCUUGAGGAGGUAGGCAUUUCCAGGAGAAAGAAAGGAUAAUUUAAUUUUGCAUGUAAUUUAACCUUGAAAGGGUUUGGGGUGGAUUUAUCCCCUUAGAGAAGUAAGAGAAGAGAAUUACACAACUAGAAAGAGCAUUCCAGUUAAACUCUCCACUGUUCUAGGAAUACAGAGAGACAGUGUUUAGAAACCUUAGAGAUGACCCAUCUCUUCUAUGACUGAUUGAAAUGAGAGCUGGUUUUCAUUUAGUUUUCUACCCUAAGUUAGGUGGUUGUCCCAGAACCUUUUCCCACCCCUCCUAUGAUUUCUCUCUCUCUGUCUCUGUCUGUCUGUAUAUCUGUCUCUCUGUCUCUGUCUCUGUCUCUCUGUUUCUGUCUCUGUCUCUCUUUCAGUGUCUGUCUCUGUCUCUUUCUCUCUCCUCUGUCUCCCUCCCUUUUCCCCUUCACCCUCUCUUUUUCUCUCCCCCUCCCCUUUUUUCUUUCUCUUUCCUCCUCUCUAUCUCCUCCCUCCUCUCUUCUUUCUCCUUCCUUCUUUCUUUCUUCUCCUCCUUUCUCUCCCCUCCUCUUUAUGCCCUGGAAGCUGGUAGCACACCUAGCUUAGUAUGUAUCCCAAUUCUCUGGAGUUCUGGUCUUUGGGCAGCCAGGGACCUGGAGAAUGCCCAACAUCAAAGCAAAGAGGGAUGAGAGAGAAUAGGGUUGGGAGUGGGCAAGGCAUAGCAGAGUGUCCAUGGAAUCAUCGGGUACGCUUUGGAUUGAGGAAGACCUGAAGCAAAGAUGGACUCUUCUCCCUGAAGCUGCUUCCAAGGAACCAGAAUAGCAAUUCUUCAUCUUGAAGAGGAGGCCAGGAGAAACUACAAAAGUAUUCCAGAUGGCUACUACCUAAGAGAAAGUCUUAGACUUGAUAUCCGGACAUUAGAAAAAGAAGAUGGCGAAAAUAACACUGAUGGUUCUUUUCCAAAAUCCUUGGAUCACUUGACAAGAUCAGAUUCAUUCUCCUUAUGACCUCUUCUUGGAGCACUCUUUCCUUGAUGGCAUCAGUGUUGCAGGCUUCCUCUUUGAUCUCAGCUUCAUCAUCUGCACCUCAACUGAAAGACCUACUUGAAGAGCAAGAAGGAAAAACCUCUCUGAAAGAAAGAGCUUGAAACCUGAUCAUGGCUAUCCCAAAAGGGGAAAUGGUCUUUGGCAAGGGAUAGAGCAUGGAAUCUCUACCUAAGAAUCACUAGAUAUAAAGAUAUAAAGAGACUACAGAAGUAAUUUUCUUGAGUAGUAAGACAUUUUCUAAAAUUAAGGGAUGGGUUUAAGCAGGAUUGUUGUCUUUAUAAAAUUGUAAGUCAGGAUUUACUUAUAGCCUCAGAGCCUCUCAUCUAGGGGUCAACAAAAUUAUUCCAAAGAAAGAGAUAGAAGGAAAGAAUUAACCUUUUGUCCUUUAAUCAUUUCCAGAGUAAAGUACUUCAAAUAUUAUUGUGUAUCCAAUGAAUUUUUUAAAUUAAUUCAUUCAUUUAACAGAUUCUUUUUAAGUCAACAAAAAUAACAACCAACUUCGCACACAAUUUAUUUUCUAUUGGAUGUUUGAUCCCUAGAAAACAUCAACUUGGACUAGAUAUCAAAUCUAGGAAAAGAGGUUAGGUUGGGACUUUUCAUUAUUUAACAUUUUGGGGUCACCUUUCUAAUGAACCUUUUAAGUAACAUUAUGUAUUAUAGCUGUUUUUGUGCAUGCCAUAUACUCUUAGUAAAAUGUAAGUUCUGUGAGGGCAGAAACUGCAUUCCAUUGAAAACACUGUAUUUUCUUCAGGACCAAACACAGAGAUCUGAAUAUAAUAUGUGCUUAAUAAAUACUUGUUCAAAAUAA